UCUGCUCCCUGGGAUUGGGACUCGCUGCGACGCCGGGGAUGCGGGGCACCUCUGCACCCACCCGCACAGCGAGCGGCGCGGGGCAGAGCCGCGUUACAGUACUCUCCGAUGGAGGAUUUUGCCAAUGAGGAACAGAAGAACAGAUCGUCACAAAGCGGGAGUUUAUUAAACAUUUGGAUAUGCCGUGGGAUGGGUGUCACCAGGAGAGAAAGAAAGAACAAAACGCUCCAAUGCUGACGGGCGCGAGUGAUGCUCUGGGCUGGGGCAGCUCCGCCACAGUCGCACUCAGCUCUCGGCCUCUGCUC